GUCCCGUUUUUUAAAUUGGUCUACAUUAAGGUCCAAGGGUCCAAAAUUAAACUUAGUUUGAUUUUAACAAAAAUUGAAUUAUUGGGGUUCUUUGAUAUGCCAAAUCUAACCGUGUAUUUAGAUUUUUAAUUUUGGGUCUCGUUUUUUAAAUUGGUUUACAUUAAGGUCCAAAGGGUCCAAAAUUAAACUUAGUUUGAUUUUAACAAAAAUUGAAUUCUUGUGGUUAUUUGAUAUGCUGAAUCUAAACAUGUGUUCAGAUUUUUGAUUAUGGGCCCAGUUUUCAAGUUGGUCCAAGAUAGGGUCCAGUAUUUAAACUUUGUUUGAUUUCAACAAAAAUUGAAUAUAUGGGGUUCUUUGAUAUGCUGAAUCUAAACAUGCAUUUAGAUUUUUGAUUAUGGGCCCAGUUUUCAAGUUGGUCCAAAUUGGGGUCCAAAAUUAAACUUUGUUUGAUUUCAACAAAAAUUGAAUAUAUGAGGUUUGUUGAUAUGCUGAAUCUAACCAUGUAUUUAGAUUUUUUAUUUGUAGGCCCCGCUAUCAAAUUGGUUCAUAUUGAGGUCAAAAGGGUCCAAAAUUAAACUUUGUUUGAUUUCAUCAAAAAUUGAAUUAUUGGGGUUCUUUGAUAUGCCAAAUCUAACUGUGUUUUUAGAUGUUUAAUUUGGGUCCCGUUUUUUAAAUUGGUCUUCAUUGAGGUCCAAAGGGUCCAAAAUUAAACUUAGUUUGAUUUAAAAAAAAAUUGAAUUCUUGGGGUUCUUUGAUAUGCUGAAUCUAAACAUGUGUUUAGAUUUUUGAUUAUGGGCCCAGUUUUCAAGUUGGUCCAAGUUGGGGUCCAAAAUUAAACUUUUUUUGAUUUCAACAAAAAUUGAAUAUAUGGGGUUCUUUGAUAUGCUGAAUCUAACCAUGAAUUUAGAUUUUUUAUUUGUGGGCCCUGCUAUCAAAUUGGUUCAUAUUGAGGUCAAAAGGGUCCAAAAUUAAACUUUGUUUGAUUUCAUCAAAAAUUGAAUUAUUGGGGUUCUUUGAUAUUCCAAAUCUAACCAUGUAUUUAGAUUUUUAAUUUUAAGUCCCGUUUUUUAAAUUGGUCUACAUUAAGGUCCAAAGGGUCCAAAAUUAAACUAAGUUUGAUUUUAGCAAAAAUUGAAUUCUUGGGGUUCUUUGAUAUGCUGAAUCUAAACAUGUGUUUAGAUUUUUGAUUAUGGGCCCAGUUUUCAAGUUUGUCCAAGUUGGGGUCCAAAAUUAAACUUUGUUUGAUUUUAACAAAAAUUGAAUAUAUGGGGUUCUUUGAUAUGCUGAAUCUAACCAUGUAUUUUGAUUUUGGACAUUGGACCAUAAUAGGUAAAUUAAAAAAAUUCAAGUUCUUAGACCACAUUCUUUCUGUGUCAGAAACCUAUGCUGUGUCAAAUAUUUAAUAACAAUCCAAAUUCAGAGCUGUAUCAAGCUUGAAUGUUGUGUCCAUACUUGCCCCAACUGUUCAGGGUUCGACCUCUGCGGUCGUAUCAAGCUGCGCCCCAGCGAAGCAUUUUAUUGAUUAUGGGCCCAGUUUUCAAGUUGGUCCAAGUUGGGGUCCAAAAUUAAACUUUGUUUGAUUUCAACAAAAAUUGAAUAUAUUGGGUUCUUUGAUAUGCUGAAACUUACCAUGUAUUUUGAUUUUUGGGCCCCGUUAUCAAACUGGUCCACAUUGAGGUCAAAAGGGUCCAAAAUUAAACUUUGUUUGAUUUCAUCAAAAAUUGAAUUCUUUGGAUUCUUUGAUAUGCUGAAUCUAACCAUGUAUUUAGAUUUUUGAUAUUUGACCAUAAUAGGUUAAUUAAAAAAUUUUAAGUUCUUAGA